rnacentral:rRNA from 1 species
GGUUAAGCGACUAAGCGUACACGGUGGAUGCCCUGGCAGUCAGAGGCGAUGAAGGACGUGCUAAUCUGCGAUAAGCGUCGGUGAGGUGAUAUGAACCGUUAUAACCGGCGAUUUCCGAAUGGGGAAACCCAGUGUGUUUCGACACACUAUCAUUAACUGAAUCCAUAGGUUAAUGAGGCGAACCGGGGGAACUGAAACAUCUAAGUACCCCGAGGAAAAGAAAUCAACCGAGAUUCCCCCAGUAGCGGCGAGCGAACGGGGAGGAGCCCAGAGCCUGAAUCAGUGUGUGUGUUAGUGGAAGCGUCUGGAAAGGCGCGCGAUACAGGGUGACAGCCCCGUACACAAAAAUGCACAUACUGUGAGCUCGAUGAGUAGGGCGGGACACGUGGUAUCCUGUCUGAAUAUGGGGGGACCAUCCUCCAAGGCUAAAUACUCCUGACUGACCGAUAGUGAACCAGUACCGUGAGGGAAAGGCGAAAAGAACCCCGGCGAGGGGAGUGAAAAAGAACCUGAAACCGUGUACGUACAAGCAGUGGGAGCCUCUUAAUGGGGUGACUGCGUACCUUUUGUAUAAUGGGUCAGCGACUUAUAUUCUGUAGCAAGGUUAACCGAAUAGGGGAGCCGAAGGGAAACCGAGUCUUAACUGGGCGUUAAGUUGCAGGGUAUAGACCCGAAACCCGGUGAUCUAGCCAUGGGCAGGUUGAAGGUUGGGUAACACUAACUGGAGGACCGAACCGACUAAUGUUGAAAAAUUAGCUGAUGACUUGUGGCUGGGGGUGAAAGGCCAAUCAAACCGGGAGAUAGCUGGUUCUCCCCGAAAGCUAUUUAGGUAGCGCCUCGUGAAUUCAUCUCCGGGGGUAGAGCACUGUUUCGGCAAGGGGGUCAUCCCGACUUACCAACCCGAUGCAAACUGCGAAUACCGGAGAAUGUUAUCACGGGAGACACACGGCGGGUGCUAACGUCCGUCGUGAAGAGGGAAACAACCCAGACCGCCAGCUAAGGUCCCAAAGUCAUGGUUAAGUGGGAAACGAUGUGGGAAGGCCCAGACAGCCAGGAUGUUGGCUUAGAAGCAGCCAUCAUUUAAAGAAAGCGUAAUAGCUCACUGGUCGAGUCGGCCUGCGCGGAAGAUGUAACGGGGCUAAACCAUGCACCGAAGCUGCGGCAGCGACACUAUGUGUUGUUGGGUAGGGGAGCGUUCUGUAAGCCUGUGAAGGUGUACUGUGAGGUAUGCUGGAGGUAUCAGAAGUGCGAAUGCUGACAUAAGUAACGAUAAAGCGGGUGAAAAGCCCGCUCGCCGGAAGACCAAGGGUUCCUGUCCAACGUUAAUCGGGGCAGGGUGAGUCGACCCCUAAGGCGAGGCCGAAAGGCGUAGUCGAUGGGAAACAGGUUAAUAUUCCUGUACUUGGUGUUACUGCGAAGGGGGGACGGAGAAGGCUAUGUUGGCCGGGCGACGGUUGUCCCGGUUUAAGCGUGUAGGCUGGUUUUCCAGGCAAAUCCGGAAAAUCAAGGCUGAGGCGUGAUGACGAGGCACUACGGUGCUGAAGCGACAAAUGCCCUGCUUCCAGGAAAAGCCUCUAAGCAUCAGGUAACAUCAAAUCGUACCCCAAACCGACACAGGUGGUCAGGUAGAGAAUACCAAGGCGCUUGAGAGAACUCGGGUGAAGGAACUAGGCAAAAUGGUGCCGUAACUUCGGGAGAAGGCACGCUGAUAUGUAGGUGAAGCGACUUGCUCGUGGAGCUGAAAUCAGUCGAAGAUACCAGCUGGCUGCAACUGUUUAUUAAAAACACAGCACUGUGCAAACACGAAAGUGGACGUAUACGGUGUGACGCCUGCCCGGUGCCGGAAGGUUAAUUGAUGGGGUUAGCGGUAACGCGAAGCUCUUGAUCGAAGCCCCGGUAAACGGCGGCCGUAACUAUAACGGUCCUAAGGUAGCGAAAUUCCUUGUCGGGUAAGUUCCGACCUGCACGAAUGGCGUAAUGAUGGCCAGGCUGUCUCCACCCGAGACUCAGUGAAAUUGAACUCGCUGUGAAGAUGCAGUGUACCCGCGGCAAGACGGAAAGACCCCGUGAACCUUUACUAUAGCUUGACACUGAACAUUGAGCCUUGAUGUGUAGGAUAGGUGGGAGGCUUUGAAGUGUGGACGCCAGUCUGCAUGGAGCCGACCUUGAAAUACCACCCUUUAAUGUUUGAUGUUCUAACGUGGGCCCCUUACCGGGGUUGCGGACAGUGUCUGGUGGGUAGUUUGACUGGGGCGGUCUCCUCCUAAAGAGUAACGGAGGAGCACGAAGGUUGGCUAAUCCUGGUCGGACAUCAGGAGGUUAGUGCAAUGGCAUAAGCCAGCUUGACUGCGAGCGUGACGGCGCGAGCAGGUGCGAAAGCAGGUCAUAGUGAUCCGGUGGUUCUGAAUGGAAGGGCCAUCGCUCAACGGAUAAAAGGUACUCCGGGGAUAACAGGCUGAUACCGCCCAAGAGUUCAUAUCGACGGCGGUGUUUGGCACCUCGAUGUCGGCUCAUCACAUCCUGGGGCUGAAGUAGGUCCCAAGGGUAUGGCUGUUCGCCAUUUAAAGUGGUACGCGAGCUGGGUUUAGAACGUCGUGAGACAGUUCGGUCCCUAUCUGCCGUGGGCGCUGGAGAACUGAGGGGGGCUGCUCCUAGUACGAGAGGACCGGAGUGGACGCAUCACUGGUGUUCGGGUUGUCAUGCCAAUGGCACUGCCCGGUAGCUAAAUGCGGAAGAGAUAAGUGCUGAAAGCAUCUAAGCACGAAACUUGCCCCGAGAUGAGUUCUCCCUGACUCCUUGAGAGUCCUGAAGGAACGUUGAAGACGACGACGUUGAUAGGCCGGGUGUGUAAGCGCAGCGAUGCGUUGAGCUAACCGGUACUAAUGAACCGUGAGGCUUAACCUU